UACGUAGGGUGCAAGCGUUAAUCGGAAUUACUGGGCGUAAAGCGUGCGCAGGCGGUUGUGCAAGACCGAUGUGAAAUCCCCGAGCUUAACUUGGGAAGUGCGGCAGAUACUCCAAGACUAGAGUACUGGAGGGGUUCGUGGAAUUCCCGGUGUAGUGGUGAAAUGCGUAGAGAUCCGGAGGAACACCAGUGGCGAAGGCGACACGCUGGGCCGUACCUGACACUGAUGCGCGACAGCAUGGGGAGCAAACAGG
rnacentral:rRNA from 1 species